AAUCUUAAAAUGUAUGUAUAUAUGUGUGUGUGUAUAUGUAUAUAUAUUUUAAUGGAGUAAGGGGCUCAACGAAGGCAAAAAGGCCUAGAGCCCAAGAAAAACAUGAUGUGGCCCUGUUGCCUGGGGUUGAAAAAUCCCAUUCCAUGAGAAGAAUUUAGUUUUAAGAAUAUUACAUAAAAUGCUCAUUUCUGUGGCCUUGCUAUAAUAGAAAGAUGGAGAUUCAGAGUAGUGAUAAUGGCUAACAUCCACCUGAUACACACCAUGUGUCCAUUACCUCUUAAUCCUCACAGCACACCUGUGAAAUAGGUACUAUUCUCACACUUAGGGGGUAAUGCAGGUUUUGUGGGGCCUGCAAUUUAUGCAAUUUGGGUGGUCCUCUUAAAGAAAAAGCAAAUACUGUGUAUUAGUCCGUUCUCACACUGCUAUAAAGAACUGCGCGAGACUGGGUAAUUUAUAAAGGAAAGAGGUUUAAUUGACUCACAGUUCCACAUGGCUGGGGAGACCUCAGGAAACUUAACAAUCGUGGUGGAAGGAGAAGCAAGUACCUUCUUCACAAGGAAGCGGAAAGAAUUGUGAGCGGAGGAACUUGCCAAACACAAAACCGUCAGAUCGCGUGAGAAUUCAGUUACUAUCACGAGAACAACACGGGAAAACUGUCCCCAUAAUCAAGUCAUUUCUCUCCCUAACAAGUGAGGAUUACAAUUCAAGAUGAGGUUUGGGUAGGAACACAAAGCCUGACCCUAUCCCACAGCAUGUCCAGGCUGCCCUAGCACCACCCAAUAGAAGGGAAAAUGGCAGAGGGAAAGUCCUAGUGGAAAGAGACCUCAGUCUCAGCUAAUUGUGGUGACAAUAUAUUGCUUUUGCAAAUUGUACAUAAACAUAUGACCAGGUGAAUGUAUCGCCAAGGCUCCUGCCAAGGCCUGGGAUGGAGGCCUAGAGAAGAUGCCCGAAAGUUUAUGCUGUGUGAGCUUCACAGAAGACCUGCCUUCCAUGUAUACCCAUUUUACAGGUGUCUGUGCGGUGCAGAAACUGUACAACUGUAUACAGUGACCAUUUCUACUCUGGGUCUCUAAACAAGGGCUGGUAUCGUUACAGAGACUGAAGACUGAGGAAGACCAUCUCUGUAGGAUGCCAAGGAUUGACUGGAGAAAGUCUGGGGUCCCUCUACCUGGGAUGUGAUUCAGUACCCAAUGGUGGAGCGGUCGUUGAGGAAUGAAGACACAUACAAAGGGUAAAGGAGCAGAAUUUUCCACAAAUGAGUUCAUUUAUAAAGAGAAAGGCAAGCUUUGAUGACAACACCUUCACAAAAUGGAGGCCUUUGAAAACAUUGGUCUGGAUUGAGGAGUUGGAGAAGAAUGAAGUGCACAUCAACCAAACAGAAGAGAAGCAAUUUGGAGGAGGAAAAAAUCAGUUCUUCAUGAAAGGAUCACAUUGAUCUUGAAGGACAUGUUUGCUUCUCCUUCUGCCAUGAUUGUAAGUUUCCUGAGGCCUCACCAUCCCUGCAGAACUGUGAGUCAAUUAAACCUCUUUCCUUUAUAAAUUACCC
rnacentral:lncRNA from 1 species